rnacentral:rRNA from 1 species
UACGGAGGGGGCUAGCGUUGUUCGGAAUUACUGGGCGUAAAGCGCACGUAGGCGGCUUUGCAAGUCAGAGGUGAAAGCCCGGGGCUCAACCCCGGAACGGCCUUUGAAACUAGGUAGCUAGAGUCUUGGAGAGGUUAGUGGAAUUCCGAGUGUAGAGGUGAAAUUCGUAGAUAUUCGGAAGAACACCAGUGGCGAAGGCGACUAACUGGACAAGUACUGACGCUGAGGUACGAAAGCGUGGGGAGCAAACAGG